ACGGGAGAAUCAAUCAAAUAAAUAAACAAACUUCUUAAACCCUAAUUCUCUCUAUUCAUCAUGUUCAUCAUUCACCGUUAAGAAUCUUUGUUCUUCGGAUUGGUCCUUCUUCCUUCGUGGUCAAUCUCUAGGCUUUGGUUUACCGGUUCUCGAGCUCACGGUGAGCUUCUGGAUUGGAUCUAUCUAUCGGUUACGUUUUACUGUCUCAACGAAGAGAGAAAAAAAAAUGGGGCAACAUCAAUCGAAAGAGGAAUUGCUGUUUCAGCAAGUGAGAUACGGUAAGGCUGAAGGGAUCGAUCUCUUCCUCGCGAAGGAGCUGACCUCGAGUGAUUAAGCAGAGUCUCUCUGUCUUUAGCAUGCGCUAUACCAAAAUCUAGUUCUUGAAAUGUUGAUAACCGGGUUGAGAAGACUCUUUCUACUACUCUCUGAUUAACUGAACUGAACGAGGAGAGGCGGAGCUUGAAAGCUGAGGCAGCUAAGGUUAGAGCUAAGGAACGCAAGAUAUUCCAGGAAGAGUUAAGGAAAACGCUGUUGCAGAUGAAUGAAAGGGAGGAAAAGCUGGAAUAUUUGAGAAUGAAGGGACAAAAAAGAGAAGAUGAGAAGAAAGCGAGGAAGAAGCUGGUGCAUGAGCAGAGUUCAUUGUGGAUCGAGCCUUAAGAAAUUGAGAAGGGAGGCCCUGCUUGACUCCACUUCUCUCUGCUGAAAGAGACUACUCCUCUUCUUCAAAUUGAGAGAAAUCAAAGACGUUUUUAGUCUUUUUGCAUUUGGUAGAUAAGUUCAAAACAUAUGCAUUUCACAUUAUAAUUUUUUAACUCAAUGCAAUUGACAAUAUUGUUUCA